UACGUAGGGGGCUAGCGUUGUCCGGAAUCAUUGGGCGUAAAGCGCGUGUAGGCGGUCCGGUAAGUCCGCUGUGAAAGUCGGGGGCUCAACCCUCGGAUGCCGGUGGAUACUGUCGGGCUUGAGUACGGAAGAGGCGAGUGGAAUUCCUGGUGUAGCGGUGAAAUGCGCAGAUAUCAGGAGGAACACCAAUUGCGAAGGCAGCUCGCUGGGACGUUACUGACGCUGAGGCGCGAAAGCGUGGGGGAGCGAACAGG
rnacentral:rRNA from 1 species